rnacentral:lncRNA from 1 species
AUGGGGGCUGGUCCCGGGGCCCAGGGAGGAGACACUCGGACCCUCCUGGCCCCUGGUGUGGCCUGGCUCCCCCGGGCCCUGCUCACUGGUCAGCGGGGACCACAUGGGUCAUGGCUCUGCCCGCACAUGUGCACUGUCUCCACCCAGGUCCUGACGGCCUGCCCUGCUGCUGUCCCCUGGUGCCCGCCCUCUGCGUCCAUGACGAUGCGGCACUGGGGCCGCUGCCCACCCUGGCGGUACCAGUGGCCUGGGCUCCCGACCCCUGCGUGGUGGUGGGUACACCCAGUCGCGUGGGCCCCGGUUCCCAUCGUACGGGAGGUGGCGGGGAGCGGGGGCCUCUGGCGACGGCCCUCAGAAGGCCCAGUGUGGACCAGGCCGUGCAACUGCUCGGGCAGCAGGUUCCCACUGUCUCCUGAGUGCUCGGGGUCCAGUGCUCCUGACCCAAGGGGGGGGCAGCAGAGGCCCCCGGGGCACGGUGGGCAGGCUCCACAUCCACCCUGGUCUCAAGGCUCGGCCCCGCAGGCCGGGCCAGGGGUGGGGGCCGUGGGUGUGAGUCGCGGCCCCUGUCCCCGUCGGACCCGUUCCAGGCCCCGAAUGGGACGCAUCCGACUCGGGUUCGGAGGAGCACAGGCGCGGGGCCGGGGGCCCCACCCCGUCCCCGCCCCGGGGGCGCCCGCCCCCGCCUGCCUCUGGAGGGCCCUCCGUGGGGCUGCCGCCCGCCCCGGGGGAGAGGGCCUUGCCGGGAGGGGAAGCCACAGGAAUUCCGAGCAGUGUCAGGCGCUGGUCUGCCAAGAGCCAACCCCACGCUGCUGGCCGUUCCAGCGGCAGCGUCCAGGCCCCCGGCCAGCCCGGCUGCCGCGUCCCCCCGCGGCUCUUGUUGUUCUGUUUGGGAAGGGCCCGAGCCCCUCCUCGCCCCCCCGCCCCCCGCAUGUGGGAGCCGCGACCGUGGGGAGCAGUUUCCGCAGAGCUCAGCAAAAAUCCGCGCGGGGUCAAGGAGCAGCGCGAGGCCCUCCCCGCAGAAAGGAGGCUCUUUCCACUUCCCAGGGCGGAGAUGAAAACAAGCACAACAAAGCCCGAGCCCCCCCGGCCCCGCGCCCCGGGAGAACAGCCAUCCUCUUUACAGGAAUUUUACAGCCAAAUCACUUAAUGUGA